UGAGCAAUCUGCCCUUCUCUUUGGAAUAAGCGUUGGAAACGACGUCUAAUGCCGAAUACGACCUCCUUUCGCAUGAUCGGAGGUGGAAAGCUCCGGCGGAGAAGGAUGAGCUCGCGGCCUAUCAGCUAGUUGGUGUGGGUAAUGGCUCACCAAGGCGACGACGGGUAGCCGGCCUGGAGAGGGUGACCGGCCACACUGGGACUGAGACACGGCCCAGACCUCCGUACGGGAGCAG
rnacentral:rRNA from 1 species